AGCAUCUAAAACAGAAAAUACAAGCACAAUGCAAAUAAUUUGCCUUUAAGUUAAACAGAACACCCACAUAUUUUGUAUGCACACUUGGAAACAAAUUCAGUAGCCUAGGAUUUUUCAAUGAUCGGAUAUAAGGCAAAUUGUCCAGUGUUGUAGGCUAGCCUAUCAUGUAUUUCCUACAUUCAAAGCACUUUUCAAAAUUGCCCAAGAAUAUGUGCAUGGGUUUAUUCGAAUUAAAGGGAGGCAAAAAGGAUCAGCUUGCAGCGACACCUUUCGUAAGGAAAAUUUCCGGGGCCAAGUGACUCGAAAAAAACUCAUGUUUUUUGUUUUGUUCUGGCCGGGGGGUGGGGGGAAUAAUGUCACGGUGACAGCAAUGUAGACUAACAAUGCAGCCUGGACUACUGACACACGCGGGCUGCCUGCUGCCUCCGGCUGUCUAACGAGUCACUUUGCCACCCAGUCAGUAGGCUAGGCUAAACUAGGAACUUUUGUAUCGGACUGCCUAGAAAGAUAGCAACACAGAACGCCGUUGCCAUAUGAUUCAUUUUGGAUCUCAGUGAAAUUAAAUUUACUCUGGCUGGCACAAAUGUUGGCAUUUGUAUCAAUAUCAGAAAUUGUGGCUGUGACGAUAGUGGCAGCUGUAACGAAAAGUGGCCAGGCAGGCUACACUGCUAGCGUUGGUGCCGGUGUUAACCGGCGGUUAAGAAGAAAUAGCGGUGCUGUGUUAAUAGAUUUCACGACAUACAUGCUCCCCUAAUGUAUCUGCCUACUUAGCAAUUGGUGUAAUGGUAGGCGUACCAUUUUUUUCAUAUUGUUUUUUAUUUUGGAUCAGAUUCAUUCGCGGUUUCUAUGACGCUUUUCUGCAUCUGUGAGACGUGCAACUUUGAGUCCUGUGAAGAGAAGACGCCCAUCAGCUGCAGGAGUCUGUUAAACUCCAUCAGGACAGAAACGCAGAGUUGACUCACAGAUGGAGGAAUAUCUGAUAGAAGAGAAUAUAAACACCACCAGCACAAUGAGCUCAUCAGCAAAGACAACUACUCGAGGCGGGUAUAUAUAUGGUUAUGGCUGCAGCCUGGAGCGUCCCAUGCUAUGGUCCCAUCCAUAGACAGUAUAUAAGGCAUAGAUAUAAGGUCCCAUCGGUCCCAUCCCAUGUCAUGCCGUUCGGUCUCAUGCCGAGGCUGUCCAACGAGAACAUGUCUUGGAUCAUGCGGUCUGAGAGGACAGAGUCCCACAUAUUAAUAUCACCGAUCUCCCCAACAAAACUCUGGCUGGCAUCAAAUGAACCCACGUAACUAUCCAGAUCUUGUCCGAUGAUAACCUUGCCUCCGGGUUGGACUGUGUGACCCUUCUUGUAAAUUUUGGUCAAGCUUUUCCUCCCAUCCAUGAAGAGAGCGGCCGCACCUGAGCUGGAAUCCCAGGUGACACACAGGUGGGUCUGCAGGGCACCGAUGUCAGGGACUCGGAAUAAAACCCCUUCUCCCGCCAGUUACUAUCUUCCCAGUCACUCUGCCUCCAGUCAGCUGGCUUCUCCCUCCAGUCCCUCCCUCGCGGUUUCCUGCACCAGCCUGCCUCAGCUCUCGCCUCCCCGCGCUUCAGUGCUUCCCCUUCGGAUCUCUCAGCCCCGGUCUCCCCGUGCCCUCGGAGCUCCCUCACUGCUCCCCGUUCCGGUCCCCGCGCCUAUGCUUUCCUCCCCGGCAUCCACCUCCCCACUUCC